rnacentral:rRNA from 1 species
UACGUAGGGUGCGAGCGUUGUCCGGAAUUAUUGGGCGUAAAGAGCUCGUAGGCGGCCUGUCGCGUCGGAUGUGAAAGCCCGGGGCUUAACCCCGGGUCUGCAUUCGAUACGGGCAGGCUGGAGUUCGGUAGGGGAGAUCGGAAUUCCUGGUGUAGCGGUGAAAUGCGCAGAUAUCAGGAGGAACACCGGUGGCGAAGGCGGGUCUCUGGGCAGUAACUGACGCUGAGGAGCGAAAGCGUGGGGAGCGAACAGG